UACGUAGGGUGCAGGCGUUAAUCGGAAUUACUGGGCGUAAAGCGUGCGCAGGCGGUUUGCUAAGACAGGUGUGAAAUCCCCGGGCUUAACCUGGGAACUGCGCUUGUUACUGGCAAGCUGGAGUGUGGCAGAGGGGGGGUGGAAUUCCGACGUGUAGCAGUGAAAUGCGUAGAGAUGUGGAGGAACACCGAUGGCGAAGGCAGCCCCCUGGGCUAACACUGACGCUCAUGCACGAAAGCGUGGGGAGCAAACAGG
rnacentral:rRNA from 1 species